rnacentral:lncRNA from 1 species
AGACCUAUCACAAAGAUAGGUUGUUGACUUAAAUGUCUGGUAUUAUUUAUUUGCUUUAGCAGAGACCCAAAGUCCUCAUCAACAAUUCACAUCAUCCACCACAGAAAGAACAUCGAGAAAGCAUCCCACACUUCAUGGCACAAGCUCGCCAAUCACAAGAGUCAAUGCAUCUGUGAGGACCUCAACUAUUUCUGAAGGAAGAAAUAAAGUGGCAGCCAUUUCUAAUGGUUAUACAUCAACAGUAGGUGGAGUUACAGGCAUAAUUCUCCUUUGCCUGGUGGCAGCAGUAUUCAUUUUCUUGUGGUUAAGACAUAGAAAUCAUAGAAACCAGAUUGUAUAUCAUCCCAAACCAGAUCCCUGCACUUACAUACCUUUACCAGUCUGUACAUCUGAACACAGUUCGGCUCAAUCAAACAAAGCAGCUGAAAACUCCACGGAAGCCUCUGUCACUGACAAAAAUCCAGGUGCGGAGACUUGUGAUGAGCUCCUCCCACAAACAGACUCCUGAUAAGCCUUGUUCAGACUGUCCGUCCAAAUCUAAUUCUUGGAAUCUGAUCAUAUUUAGCAAGUGUGAACAGGAAAAAGAAAUCACAUGAAAUACCAUUUUUACAAAUCUGUUUCAAGAUACUUUAAUUUGUGGCCUAAUCAGAUCACAUUUCUGGAAAUCUGAUUCAAGUCUGACCACUCUUGAUUGGAUUUUGCCACGUUCUCAUGCCAUGUUUAAUGUAAAUACAUCAGAUAUUGUUUGUAGGAAACACGCCAAAUGUCUUUGCAAAAACAAGAUUGUGUUGUUUUGAAGUGCAAGUCGAGCAGAAAUGUACUGCUCAAUAUACUGCUAGACUGCACACCUCUUUUAAUUGAGACGGGUGGAGACAGUAACAUGGAAUAAAGCCACUGCCUCGUAGGAGAUGUAAUACUCCAGUAAUAAUACAUAAUAAUCCAGAACAAAUAAUCCAGUAAUAAUACUGUAGGUAAUAAUCCAGAGCAAUGGCAACAAUGUCAUGUUGUCUUACAACAUCUUUAUGCAGAUAUUCCAUUAAACAAAAGAGCAUCACGGGACACAAAAAUCGAAUCUGAACAGUUGGGAUACACAGUGUGGACAGUCAAUGAAUAAAAUGAAUAAAGUUUUUAUAUUGUUUUUAAUACAUUGUCUUUUUAUGUAUGUUGUUCAAUGACAAAACACACAAUGAACUUUUAGAUAAGUGGUUCUCAGUGGUUUUUCUCAAGUAGUCAAGGUUUAGCUGGCUAGUGUUAGCCCCUUCUGGUUGAUGCUAUUAACUACACUUUGUGGCUGCAAAAAGCAUCUCUCUACACUGGUCAUUCAAUGGAAAUAAUUUGUAUGCUAACACACUUGUGACUGUACAUUUUGAAACAUUUUGUAAUCAGUAUUAAAUUAUUGUGCUUAAUUAUCAGGGUUUUGAAACAGACAUUUUGAUACCCUAGGCAAGAUAUCUUUUGUCAACCAUCCAUAACCUAACCCUAACCCUAACAGUUCAGCUUGAAUUAAGGUUCUUUUUGGAAGCUUCUUGUUCAGAUGAUUUGUUCCACUUAAAUAUCAAAUGCAUCAUGAUUGCGCUUUAUAAUUUCAGGGGCUUUAUCACAUGCAGUAAGCGUCAAAAAUAAAUUGUGGUAUGGCAAGUAAGGUAAUAGACAAUCAAAUAGUUUCACUUCAGCAUUUUCAUAGAUAUAUGUGACCCUGGACCACAAAACCUUAAGUCUUAAGUCGCUGCGGUAUAUUUGUAGCAAUAUCCAAAAAUACAUUGUAUUUCUUUUAUGCCAAAAAUCAUUAGGGUAAUAAGUAAAGAUCAUGUUCCAUGAAGAUAUUUUGUAAAUUUCCUACUGUAACAUUUUUUUGAUUAGUAAUAUGCAUUGCUCAGAACUUCAUUUGGACAGUAUGUGUGACAUUCAAACAAUUAAGAAUGGUUUGUCUCACUGUAUAAUCCACAGUUUUGAACACAUUCAUUCUGGUGUGAUCAAACUCAAUACCACUGAGCACAAUGGCCCCUGUGAUUGCUGCGUUGUAUGUCGGGUCUUGUCCCUUGCAAAGGCAUUGCAUUGGGUUUCUCAUUUCUGGUUUUCCUGUGUCUUGUUGUUCUGUUUUUGAGUUAUUUGUAUUUAAUUUAUUACUUUAAUAAACUACUUUCA